AGUGAACGCUGGCGGUAGGCCUAACACAUGCAAGUCGAACGGCAGCACAGUAAGAGCUUGCUCUUACGGGUGGCGAGUGGCGGACGGGUGAGGAAUACAUCGGAAUCUACUUUUUCGUGGGGGAUAACGUAGGGAAACUUACGCUAAUACCGCAUACGACCUACGGGUGAAAGCAGGGGAUCUUCGGACCUUGCGCGAUUGAAUGAGCCGAUGUCGGAUUAGCUAGUUGGCGGGGUAAAGGCCCACCAAGGCGACGAUCCGUAGCUGGUCUGAGAGGAUGAUCAGCCACACGGGAACUGAGACACGGUCCAGACUCCUACGGGAGGCAGCAGUGGGGAAUAUUGGGCAAUGGGCGCAAGCCUGAUCCAGCCAUCCCGCGUGGGUGAAGAAGGCCUUCGGGUUGUAAAGACCUUUUGUUGGGAAAGAAAAGCAGCAGGUUAAUACCCCGCUGUUCUGACGGUACCCAAAGAAUAAGCACCGGCUAACUUCGUG
rnacentral:rRNA from 1 species